CCCUCCCCCCCGGCUCUUUAUUUCCAGUGUCGCACCAUGAAAGGAAAUGAGAUUAUGGCACAAAUCAUCGGCCACGUGACUCUAGCAUAGGAGGUUAGUGAGAUAUUGCGGAGGAUAAUUCCACGGCCCCAUGGCCCCUGACAAUAAUUACGAUGUGACCACAGGGGAUCACCUUCUAAUAGGCUUUUGUUCACUGGAUUCAGAGUCUGUUGUGUGCUCCAGUUUGGAUAAUUAAAGUUGUGUCUCCAACGCCACAUGUGGUAGCUUAUAAUUAUGUAGUUCAGAGGAAGAGGAGUCUGAGGAGGCUGAGGUGACUGACGGCGGAGCUAGGGUGGAGAAGGAGAAUAUGGACCCGUGAUGAAGGAGAAAGAAACCAGUCUUCUCUAACAGGGAGACAGGGCUGAUGUUCUCUCCCCAGUGUCAACUGCUGUAUUUAUUUUAAGAUGGGAAUGACUAAUUACAGCCUUCCUGACUCAACCCUCCACCCUCCACAGGGACUGUGUGUAACCCUGUCCCAUGGCCUCCAACAAAGGAAAACAGGCAUUCUAACUGGGAUGAAGCACUAUAUCACUUUGCCAAGUGUCCGAGCCGGCCGGCCAUCUGUAUGUUCUCUAACAUGGACAUCUGUUCCUGAUAUGUAUACGCAGGGCCAGUUUGAUGCCCCACUCUCCAAACCGAAAGCCCUGUUCUUUCUUUCUCUUGACUGAUAGCCACUGCCAGGGUUUCUACCACUGCGGCCAACAGAAAAGUGUUCUAUGCCAAUAAAUAGUCUCCCACGCAUGGAAACAGAGAGCCCUGGCUUCUGCCUGCCCUCAGAGUGAGCAGCCGUCACACCUGUCCAGCCUUGUGUUUUCUGAGGGCUGUAGCAGUAUGCUAUGGCCCCAGGUCUCGGUUUCAUUGCGGUGAAUGGAAUGGAGAAGACAUCUUGCCAGCCAGAACACAUUAAAGGUUCACCGCAGAUGCCCCCAAACCACUGCUGUGUUUCCCAUUAAGGACAGACUAGUUUAGACUCCCGAAUGUUUCCAGGAAUGUAGGAGGUUUUGAUCUGUUGUUCUUUCCACCCCAUUGUUUCAAAGCUCCAGUUAAAGAGGGCCACAUGUACUGCUCCCAAGGCAUGAAGGGAGCUAGAAAUUGAAUGAUUUGGGAUAGUCUGAUUCUCUUUAAAACAUUUUUUUUUUACAAGUAAGUGGUAUGUAGACACCAUUUUAAAUAUAUUCUUUCUGGUGA